rnacentral:rRNA from 1 species
GAAGUAAAAAGUCGUAACAAGGUCUCCGUUGGUGAACCAGCGGAGGGAUCAUUG